GACGAACGCUGGCGGCGUGCUUAACACAUGCAAGUCGAACGGGAGUACUUUGAAAGCUUGCUGAUAAGUACUUUAGUGGCGGACGGGUGAGUAACGCGUGAGGAGCUGUCUUAUGCAGGGGGACAACAGUUGGAAACGGCUGCUAACACCCCAUAAGCCGAGAGGUAAAAGGAGCAAUCCGGCAGAGGAGGUACUCGCGUCCUAUCAGCUAGUAGGUUGGGUAACGGCCGACCUAGGCGAAGACGGGUAGCCGGCCUGAGAGGGCGAACGGCCACACUGGAACUGAGAUACGGUCCAGACUCCUACGGGAGGCAGCAGUGGGGAAUAUUGGGCAAUGGGGGGGAACCCUGACCCAGCGACGCCGCGUGGGUGAAGAAAUCCUUCGGGAUGUAAAGCCCUGUUGUAUGGGAAGAGCAGAAGACGGUACCAUACGAGGAAGCCCCGGCAAACUACGUG
rnacentral:rRNA from 1 species